rnacentral:rRNA from 1 species
AUUUGCCUAGUGGCGGAUGGGUGAGUAACGCGUGGGCAACCUACCCUGUACAGGGGGAUAACAAUGGGAAACCAUUGCUAAUACCCUAUAACACCUUUUAAGGGCAUCCUUGAAAGGUCAAAGAACUUCGGUAUAGGAUGGGCCCGCGUCUGAUUAGCUAGUUGGUGGGGUAAUGGCCUACCAAAGCAACGAUCAGUAGCCGGCCUGAGAGGGUGAACGGCCACACUGGAACUGAGACACGGUCCAGACUCCUACGGGAGGCAGCAGUGGGGAAUAUUGCACAAUGGGGGAAACCCUGAUGCAGCAACGCCGCGUGAGCGAUGAAGGCUUUCGAGUCAUAAAGCUCUGUCCUAAAGGAAGAUAAUGACGGUACCUUAGGAGGAAGCCCCGGCUAACUACGUGCCAGCAGCCGCGGUAAUACGUAGGUGGCGAGCGUUAUCCGGAAUUAUUGGGCGUAAAGAGCGCGCAGGUGGUUGAUUAAGUCUGAUGUGAAAGCCCACGGUUUAACCGUGGAGGGUCAUUGGAAACUGGUCGACUUGAGUGCAGAAGAGGGAAGUGGAAUUCCAUGUGUAGCGGUGAAAUGCGUAGAGAUAUGGAGGAACACCAGUGGCGAAGGCGGUCUACUGGGCUAUAACUGACGCUGAGGCUCGAAAGUGUGGGGAGCAAACAGGAUUAGAUACCCUGGUAGUCCACACUGUAAACGAUGAAUGCUAGGUGUGGGGGGUGUGACCCCCUCCGUGCCGGAGAUAACGCAAUAAACAAUCCACCUGGGGAGUACGACCGCAAGGUUGGAAAUCAAAAGAAAUGACGGGGACCCGCCCCACCAGCGGAUUAUGUGGUUUAAUUUGAAGCAACGCGAAGAACCCUACCAGGUCUUGACAUCCAACUAACGAAUCAGAGAUGAAUUAGGUGCCCUUCGGGGAAAGAUGAGACAGGUGGUGCAUGGUUGUCGUCAGCUCGUGUCGUGAGAUGUUGGGUUAAGUCCCGCAACGAGCGCACCCCCUGCCAUUAGUUGCUACGCAAGAGCACUCUAAUGGGACCGCUACCGACAAGGUGGAGGAAGGUGGGGGCGACGUCAAAUCAUCAUGCCCCCUAUGACUUGGGGUACACACGUAAUACAAUGGCCGUUUAACAGCAGGAAGCGAAGCCGCGAGGCGGAGCAAAACCCCAAAAACGGUCUCAGUUCGGAUUGCAGGCUGCAACUCGCCUGCACGAAGUCGGAAUUGCUAGUAAUCGCAGAUCAGCAUGCUGCGGUGA